GAACUCUUCCGACCACAAAAUGGAAACAUGAACUUUCAAGUCACACCGACCACAGCAGUGUUUGGGACCUCUGUGAUUAAAUACCAUAACUUUGUCAAUUCUUCCCAAUCGCCAAACACAGCCCAAAAGUCACCGGGAGGAGUUCAGGCAAAUUACAGAUUAAUUUAGACAGCUCCUAAACCUGACUCAAAAUCUCCAUCCACUACGUGCUGCCGUUCUUCCCAUGAAAACAAGAAUGAGGCAUAAUCAAUCGCACACCGAAAAAGAAGGUCGGGUCAGAGCACAAUAGUAACAUGGUUUGCAAACACUGUGGCACUGUGGGCAGGAGCUAAAUUUUGGUGGAAAAAGAAUUGGACGUCUCCAUGAAGCUUGUCAGCAGAUAGCAUCAUGAAGUUCCCUUCCUGGUAAACAGCUGCACUGACUUUGGACCAAAAGCAGCAACAACAGCUAAUGGUAUGACCCCCCCCCCCC